rnacentral:rRNA from 1 species
UACGGAGGGUGCGAACGUUAAUCGGAAUCACUGGGCGUAAAGCGCGCGUAGGCGGUCUGUUAAGUGGGAUGUGAAAUCCCUCGGCUUAACCGGGGAACUGCGUCUGAUACUGGAUGGCUUGAGUUCGGGAGAGGGAUGCGGAAUUCCAGGUGUAGCGGUGAAAUGCGUAGAUAUCUGGAGGAACACCGGUGGCGAAGGCGGCAUCCUGGACCGAUACUGACGCUGAGGAGCGAAAGCCAGGGGAGCAAACGGG